ensembl:lncRNA
GCAGAAACAGCUAGUUGUCUGCAGUGAAGAAUAAUUGGAAGCAUGGUGCCUGUUUCUUUUCCUGUGGGAGGAACUCACGGCAUGUACUUCUGAAUGUAUGCUUGCCUUGAGGAACAACGACAGGACACAGGGAUGUGGACAUUUUCAAUCAGAUGGUUCUGUCCGACAGUGUCGGCACACAGAGAGCGUUCCACUGACUGACCUCUUUUUGUUUUCAAAUGAAGAGAAGCCAAGAAUAGGACGGCCUAGGAAGGUGAGCUGCGUAAAACUCGUCAGACUGAGCUCAUCCUCGUCUAUGGCCAAAAGUUGGUUUCUCGUUUCUAGAAGAUGAAAGAUGUGAUGAUUUAGGAAAAAGCCAUUCUCUCUGCUUACUGCUUGCUGUUUGAGAUGUGCGUCUUCACACAUUCCUACCGACGUAUCUGACCGAUGCUGCCAAGAUUACCUGAUGGGAUGGAUGCUAAUGCCUCUACAACCAGAAGCCCAAGGUAGCGUGUGAUUAUUCAAUCCAUACAUGCAACGUGCAUAUAUCAAGUCAGCAAGAUUGGCCUUUCUGUCUUAUUGGACAUCUGUCAUGCUUCUGUGUCUGGAGCCUGCAAAGGCCUCUCUUCUAGCUCUUUGUAAAUGUGGAGAAUGGCAGAAAUAUUCAGGAAACCUAAGCCCGACUCUUGAAAAAAAAAUUCAGAUGCUGGCAGAGCCCCAAAAUGGAUAUUGGGAAGCAUUUUGAGAACUACUGUUCACAGAGAGCACAGAGAGAAGCUUCCAGCACUUUGGAGGCAGAGGUUAUUGGGAUAGGAGCUCUAACCUGCCCAGGGGGUCAGACCUUGUCAAUCAAAGUCUCAACACAUCCUUGCUGUGGAUACUAAAUCCCACCCUGUUCUCCAAAAAGUGCAGCCAAGAGGUGGAGGGCUUCAUCCCUGACUAAGCCUCCGCUUAGGACACUCUCACGUCCAGAAGGUCAUAAGGGCACCUGGAUAAGACAUCGUGAGUGAACCUCUAUGGCUUCUCCAGUAUUGAAAGCCACAUCAGUUGCACACGUUUCUAAGAGGGUCCGCUGGUGCACGUGUUUAUGAAGAUGUCUCACAAUAUAAAGAGAUUUCAGUUCUUUGUGCCACCCACAUCCUUGAGUAUGUCUCCUGAGACACACGUGGGAGUCUGUCUGGGGUAUAAAUGAGGAUGGACGUUGCCCGAAAUGCAUAUGGGCUUUUGACUUCACCCGGUUGCUUUCGGGACUAUUGUGCACAGAAUGUGUGCCACUGAAGUAAGGACCCACCCAGAAUGUGGGCUAAGCCUCCCCUCUCAUGACCCUCAACUGAAAUCACAGCUUUUGCCAUGGAAUGCAGAGAUGAAUCCUGGGGCAGCAGCGAGUGUGAGAGGAGAAGGGAAGCAGAAUAAGACAAGGUGUUCUGCCAGAGGGAGCUUGAGUAUCCACGGAAAGACGGAAUGCCUGCACAAGUGGCUUCGCAGAACAGUAAUGUGCUACAGGAUGAAGCCAUGCCUCAAUAGGAAGGUUCUUGGAUGCUGUAAGAAGGGACCGACGGGACUGGAGAGAUGGCCCAUGGUUAAGAACACUGGCUGUUGUUCCAGGGGAUCCAGGUUGAAUUCCCAGCACCUACAUGGCAGCUCACAACUGUCUGUCACUCCAAUUCCAGAGGAUACGGCCACCCUCACACAGACAUACAUUACGAUGGUCACGUGAGGAUCCAGACACACAAGGAGAACACCAUGUGAAGAUGGAUACUGAAUUGAAGUGCUGCCGUUGUGAGCCUUGGAAUGCCCCUGGCUGAAAAGGAAAUGUCUGAGCUACUGAAGGGAGAUAAAGUUGCAUGCUGGUUAAAUGGCUUCUAGCUGUGAGUGCAAACAUGGAAAUGUACUGAGCCAUUGCAAUGAGGAAGCUGCUUCUCGAACCUAAGAAGGCUGCAGCAGAGCUGCGGGCAAGUUCCUGAAGCAGCUGAGGUCAUUCACCCUUCUCGCUGGCUCAGGCCCGGCCUUCAGCAAGAUUAAGAUUUGGAUUUGGAAAACCUGAGUGACACAUCAAGACAAAAACAAUGUGAUAAGAAAUUUUCUUUCUCCUCUUGUUUUCCCUGUGUCUGGAGUUUCUUCAAGAACAUGAAAUGAGAGAGAAAACCAUAACUUAAAGGUAUUGAGAUAUGAGAACAUUUUGAGAAGGCACUUGGGUGGCGCUCUGUCUGUAACUGAACCUUGCCUGUGCUUGGCUGGCACUCCCUUUACAGCACGCAGAGUCUUGAGGUCCAAAGCCCCUCUUCCUGCAAAAUGGUUAUCCUGGUGGCAUUGCUCUAAAUAGAAGGACUUAGGUAGGGUAAACAGGAGGAUUGUGAGCAAGCCUUAAGGUUUCUGAUCACUAGAAAAGCAGAUCUUUUAAGAGGGUUUACCAGGAACCUCAGCCUUUAACCUUUCCUGCAAAGGUCAGCUACCACAGGCAUGGGCAUCUAGUUCCUGCUCAGUCCUGAUGGCCUGUAUCAGCUCAAGUCCCCACCCCGAUGACUGUCAUAUCUGCUUGGUUUCCCACCAUUUUGCUUUUCUCUCUACCUUGGCAGUUUGAGCCCCAGUGAAUCUUUCUUUCUGCCCAUAGACCAGUCUAGUUCAGUAAUUUCUCUGCCCCGAGUCUCAGGUAUUAAUCUGCGAGGACGGCCUCCAUCUGGGGACUUUUUUCUGUUCUCAGUGAAGUGGCACAUUCAGUUCCUGGUGCAGCGUCCGUUCGUUUCUUUUAGUCAUUUCACAGCUGUUUGCUGGGAGGAGCAAGACUGAACUACUUGGGGCUGAUUUCACAAGGAAGCUGAAAACAAGGCCUUCCCAGUUCCCGUUUGUGAUUUUCAAGUCAAUAAAGCAUGUCUGUCUUGGUGGAUGUUUCUCUCUAACUGGCUUCAGUUGUCUGCUGAGCUGUCUACCUGGCUUCCCCUUGGCUGGGAAACCUCGGUUUGUGGCCAUCCUGUUACAGGUGGAUGGCUGCCCGGCUGCCCACCGUUGUUUGUUAUUAAAUUGGUGAUGCAAUUUCUGUUUGGCAGUUUGUGACUGCAAGGUUAUUCAAGGAUGCUGUUUAGAAAUACAAGUGAGCUACAGAACGAGAUGUCGGAGCGGAUGGUCGGUUUGUUAUGUUUUUUUCUUUUUUUUUUUAAGGCUGUUCAGGGACAGUAGACGAAUGCACAAAUUUGUUAUUGUGGAUUGUUAUGAAUCCCAAAGACGCACAUACGGGGAUCAUUAUUGUAGAUUGGCUUGUGACAGCUGGCCCUGAUUUACUUAUUUCCUCAAGAAGACACUUUGAACAAUUAUUGAAAUGCCUCCCCUCUGUAAUUAUAAUAAUAAUGAUGAUGAUUUUGCAACUGAAUAUGCAAUUCAGGGCGUACACACUCAACUGUUUUUAGCUUGUUUCUCUUUUUACAUUGAUGUCAGCUGCUGUCUUGGCUUGUGAAGAGCUGAGAAGGACUUUCCAACCAAGGGUCAAUGAGCUACAUGAAGAGUCAUCUGUGGCCAACCCGGGAAAUUACUAAAAUAAUAAUUUUAGUAAUAUACAUUACAAUACAAUAAUAUUACAGUUAGUAUGUAAGGAGCAAGCUAACUAUGGGCAGGGUUCUUUUUUCUCCUUUUU